GGCCUCCCUCUGUGGGGCAAUUGAUCUGGGGGCCCCGUGAUUGAUUGCCCCACAGAGGGAGGCC
rfam:Myotis davidii contig144932, whole genome shotgun sequence.